CAAGUUCUUUUUACAAAAUUAUUACAGAACCAAAAGAAAAAAAUAAAUAAAAUAAAAUACAUCAUAGCCCACGGCUAGAUCCAAACUGCCUAAUGCAAUCUUAUUAUCCAAUACAUACAUUUUACCAAAUCCAGAUUCCAGAUUCCAAGGCCUUCUCUUAGAGUGUUUCAAAGUUCCAAGGAGCUUCAAGAACCCAAGCGAUGCUUACACUCAGAACAGUGAAUGUUGUAACAGAGUAGUGCUAUGUGUAGAAUUACCAGCCCUUAGGCAUCCAAGUUCAGAUGAAG
rnacentral:lncRNA from 1 species